rnacentral:ncRNA from 17 species
ACAGUACAAACUGAUCAGGCGAUAAACCCCAAAUUUUAAGGUUUAUGCAGCUGGGCCAUAAACGGCAGCAGAUGAAAAAUAUAACACAUCUGUGGGACAGUG